AUUGCCAUCUUGUGAUGUAGCUCCAAACAAAGAAAGUUGUUGGCAGCUAAACAAGGUAGCAUAAAGUAAAGUCAAAGAAGCUAAGGCGUGACUUCUGGAGUCUCAGGAGUUUCACGUGCGAUGUUCCUAGUACAUUUCUCCUUAGGAAUCCCUGCUUUCCACGGUGGUGACGGUGCCGUUUAGUAACCGUCACCUUUCUUGAAGCAGGCAGAGAAAGCAUUGCGCGGGGGGCAGAAAUUGAUUGACAGGAAGAGAUGUACCUGACAAACAGUUCGGCCUCCACAUCG